rnacentral:rRNA from 1 species
UACGUAGGGACCGAGCGUUGUCCGGAAUCAUUGGGCGUAAAGAGCGUGUAGGCGGCUAUUUAAGUCCUGCGUGAAAUCCUGCGGCUCAACCGCAGACGGUCGUGGGAAACUGGAUGGCUAGAGUGCGGGAGAGGAGAGUGGAAUUCCCGGUGUAGCGGUGAAAUGCGCAGAUAUCGGGAGGAACACCAAUAGCGAAGGCAGCUCGCUGGGACGGUACUGACGCUGAGGCGCGAAAGCGUGGGGAGCGAACAGG